CCGACUUUGGGCCCAGUUGGCCCCUAACCAGGAUAUAGGAUUAUCUCUUAAUCCUAAUCCUAAUUACAAGUGAACUACAUAACAAAAACACAUCCUAAGUAAGCUUUUAACCGCGAACGUCGAGUCUUGUUUCGGCGAGCUUUCCGACGAGCUUCUUCCGACGGACUCCCAUCAAGCUCCCGAUCUUGUGAUGACUUUAACGAGUAGCCGAGCCUUCUCGGUGAUCUCCGUGAACCUCUG
rnacentral:lncRNA from 1 species